UACAGAGGGUGCGAGCGUUGUUCGGAAUUAUUGGGCGUAAAGGGCUCGUAGGUGGCCAACUAAGUCACACGUGAAAUCCCUCGGCUUAACCGGGGAACUGCGUGUGAUACUGGAUGGCUUGAGUUUGGGAGAGGGAUGCGGAAUUCCAGGUGUAGCGGUGAAAUGCGUAGAUAUCUGGAGGAACACCGGUGGCGAAGGCGGCAUCCUGGACCAAUACUGACGCUGAGGAGCGAAAGCCAGGGGAGCAAACGGG
rnacentral:rRNA from 1 species